rnacentral:rRNA from 1 species
AUUGAACGCUGGCGGCAGGCCUAACACAUGCAAGUCGAACGAGUGGCGGACGGGUGAGUAAUGUAUGGAAACCUGCGUGACGGAGGGGGAUAACGACUGUAAAAGGUAGAUAAUAGCGCAUACCGUCGGUUGGGCUCAGAUGGGAGUAGCUAGUAGGUGGGGUAAAGGCUCACCUAGGCGACGAGCCAUAGCUGGGCUGAGAGGAUGAACAGCCACACUGGAAAUGAGACACGGUCCAGACGCCUACGGGAGGCAGCAGUGGGGAAUAUGGCACAAUGGGCGAAAGCCUGAUCCAGCAAUGCCGCGUGUAUGAAGAAGGCCUUCGGGUUGUAAAGUACUGUUGUCAGGGAGGCGUUACCCGAAGAGGAAGCACCGGCUAACUCCGUGCCAGCCGCCGCGGUAAUAC